rnacentral:rRNA from 1 species
CUGUAAUUACUCUAAAGCUAAUACAUGCUUUGAUGCCCUGACUCUGCUGUUUGCUUGCUUGCCCGCUGCUGUCUAGUAGUGGUGGCAGUAGGCAGUAGGGGAUGGGUGCACUUAUUAGAUCAGAAGCCAACCAAUUGUUCGCAGCACGUGCGCCUGCAUUUGUUGCAUGCGUGUGUGCGGGUGGGCGUUGAGAGGAGACCGCUUCUGGUGACUCUGGAUAAUUGUUACAGAUCGCAGUCGGCCUUGAGUCGGCGACGGGUCCUUCAAAUGUCUGCCCUAUCAACUGUCGAUGGUAGGUGACCUGCCUACCAUGGUGAUAACGGGUAACGGGGAAUCAGGGUUCGAUUCCGGAGAGGGAGCCUGAGAAACGGCUACCACUUCCAAGGGAGGCAGCAGGCGCGCAAAUUACCCACUCCCGGCACGGGGAGGUGGUGACGAAAAAUACCGAUGCGGGACUCCUUUAAGAGGCUCCGUAAUCGGAAUGAGUGGACUCUAAAUCCUUUCACGAGGAUCUAUUGGAGGGCAAGUCUGGUGCCAGCAGCCGCGGUAACUCCAGCUCCAAUAGCGUAUAUUAAAGUUGCUGCAGUUAAAAAGCUCGUAGUUGGAUCUCGGUAGCAUUGUUGCCUGUUGGUAAUUGAGCGGUCGGUGUGUGGUCAAUGAUGCACGGUCUGGCUGGCACAUUGUCUGCGUGUGUGUGUGUGUGCGUAGUGGAUGCGGCGACGAGUCGGCCAAAUGGUUGGCAGGUUAGUGGGUUGGUUGGUUGACUGACUGACUGACCGACGGACUUGCUCGCUAGGUGG